GAUGAACGCUGGCGGCGUGCCUAAUACAUGCAAGUCGAGCGAAUGGAUUAAGAGCUUGCUCUUAUGAAGUUAGCGGCGGACGGGUGAGUAACACGUGGGUAACCUGCCCAUAAGACUGGGAUAACUCCGGGAAACCGGGGCUAAUACCGGAUAACAUUUUGAACCGCAUGGUUCGAAAUUGAAAGGCGGCUUCGGCUGUCACUUAUGGAUGGACCCGCGUCGCAUUAGCUAGUUGGUGAGGUAACGGCUCACCAAGGCAACGAUGCGUAGCCGACCUGGGAGGGUGAUCGGCCACAAUGGGACUGAGACACGGCCCAGACUCCUACGGGAGGCAGCAGUAGGGAAUCUUCCGCAAUGGACGAAAGUCUGACGGAGCAACGCCGCGUGAGUGAUGGAGGCUUUCGGGUCGUAAAACUCUGUUGUUAGGGAAGUACAAGUGCUAGUUGAAUGAGCUGGCACCUUGACAGUACCUAACCAGAAAGCCACGGCUAACUACGUGCCAGCCGCCGCGGUAA
rnacentral:rRNA from 1 species